CCACGGCCCACUCCAUUCAACCCCACUCACAUGUGUCCCUCAAAUCCAUCCAUCCCAAUCACCACUUUGACCAUCUGUCGACAGGACCACCCUUUACUCCCCUUCUCGCCUCGGUACUACUAUCCCGUCACUUCUGUGUCGCUGUGUGUGUGAGAGUUUCCGCUGCUGUGUCUCGCUACCGUAAUAUACAGUUCCAGCAUCGUGAUAUGUCUUACAUAAUGUUUUUAGGAAACGAAGACCAAGAAGAAGACCUCAUCCAUGUGGAAAAUACUGGCUUUGGAGACUUCUAGGCGAUCAGGUUGCUGUUGGAAAAGCUUGAGAGGUUUGGGAGCGUGUGGUAGUGAAAUUAAAGAUGGGCUUCGUCGAAGGGGAGUCAUAACAACAACAAAGGAGACUCUGCAUAUAGGUUGAUGGUGCAGAUCCAUUCUCCACAAUCUUUGGUAUGCUGAAGGCGCCGGUCUGUUGCAGAAACCAUCCGAGGUUUCAGAUCGGUGAUUUAUUCCGCUGAUUCGAAUGCUAGAAUGGCUGAAAACGUUGAUUUGAUACAUACGUUGCUCUUUUGUUUGUUUGUGCUCUUCGAUUUCGUCAAGCGUUAGGAGUGUGCGCAUGACCUCAGUGCAGGUUUCAUGAGUUUAUGAGUGGGUUCCUGGAGAUUUGGCGCUCGAUCCAACGAGGUUGUUGGUACUGUGAGUUAUCAGGGUUGAAGAUUGCUUGCUGGAGGUGGGCUGGCAUUGGGGCUGCGCUGACACGGAGGGUGAUAUUGCCGAUCAGAUGCUAUGAACCAGAGUAAAACAAGGGCGAGGGGAAAGAGCAGUAUGCGAGGAGGCCUAGGUUUAGAGAUGAAACUCGAGGAUUAGGGUCCCAUGUUGCGAGCAAUAGUUCAGCAAGUUGUUAUGUUCGUGCAAAAUCUAAGAAUCUAGAGGUAUAUGCAAGAGCAGGCAUUUCCAAGGCUGCAGAUUUUCCUAAAUUUCUUGGUCCAGCUCUUGUCUGAACCCUUCAAGCUAAGUAAAACAAUUAUUAGGGAGCCAGGCUUGACUAAGACGUGACUUGCUCUAAAAGUAUAUUGCAAAUAUAUGUUUUCCGAGUUGUCUCCUA